rnacentral:lncRNA from 1 species
UCAACAUAUAUUUGUCUAAAAACCAAAUAUAACAGAAGAAAAAAAUGGUCUCCCUUCAAAAAAAAUUAUAAAUCAUAGCUAAUCAACAUAUAUUUGAAGGUUUGAGUUAUGUUAGAUGAUUAGGGUUUAGAUAUAUUUGAUUCUCUAGUGAUAACUAAGAUUAUGAAGUCAAGAAGGACAAUUGUUGGCUUUAGACUGAGUUGUGGUGGUUUCUCAUUCUUACAAAGAUGCAAACCAAUGUGUGGAUGUUUUAGUAAAUAUUGGUUGUUAUUCAGACUAUAAUUUGGUCGUUAAGAACCUCUUGUUAGUUAAUAGCAUAAGAUUACUACCCCUCGUUUGAUUUUAGUGAUAUUUCUUUUUCGGGCUUUGACCCUUGGUCUCAUAAAAAUAAAAGGUUUAAUUGCAGGUUUGAUCCUUUAUGUUUAUUUUAAGUUUUAAGUUGGUUACUUAUGUUUUAAAAGUUUCAAGUUAGUUCAAUACAUUACUCACAUUGGAAUAAGUUAGUCACUCCGUCACCUGAUUGUUUAAAGUUUCGGGUUGACAAUAUGGGUGAUGAAAUUUAACUUAUUUAGAAAAUAAGUUGUAAACCUUUUUUUUAUUUUAUUUUUUUGUUUUAUUAAACUCAAUAUCAUCUCGUGGAAAGGACUAACUUAUUUCAAUAUGGGUAACGUUUUGAACCAACUUGAAACCUUUAAAACGUAAGGGACCAACAUGAAACUUUUAAAACAUAAGAGACCAACUUAAAACCUAAAAUAAACAUAAGAGAUCAAACAUGCAAUUAAGACAAAAUUAA